UUAAACUCGAAGAUUUUUGGUUGCUUUGGAUAUAAAAAGGAGUCUUGAGAUUCAGAGGGGGGGGAGGCUGCAGAGCUGAGGCCUGAGUAACGGAAGUUGCAGAAGUCAUUCCUGCACUUUCGGGCGAACAAGAAGACGAGGAAUAGAUCACUGUUUAGAACAGAAUUUUGUUUCAGGUACCUUUUUGAGGAUGAUGACUCUUUCUCAGGAGACAUCACCUAAGAUGACACUGGCGGAAUAUACGCGUAGAAGUUCAAAUUAUCAAGAAACCUCAUCUUAGAUGAAGCUUGGUGAAUAUAUGCAUAGGCAACAAUAUGGAUUUUUUCUCCACAAAUGAAAGUGCGAGCGAAUUUGAUCACGGGGAGUAAAAUUAGCUAGAUUGGAAGCUAUAUAAGGUGGAAGAUAUCAUUUGUGCUACAAGAAUUAAAUUUUGUCAGAUAUGAGUCCAAGUGACGACAUCAUUAUUUUCUCUCUCAACGAAUUAAUCACCGAAAUACUUUGUUUAUCUCACAUGUAAAAUAUAUUUUAUGUGAUGUGGAGCUUUAUUGGAAAGUGAGUGGUAUUAAGAAAAUGAGAAAAUGUCAACAUUAAAGGAUAAACAAAUAACU